rnacentral:tRNA from 1 species
GAGGGCACAGCUUAGUGUUAGGGCACAUGCCUAGUGUUCAUGAGGUCCUGGGUUCAAUCCCCAGCACCCCCA